GAUGAACGCUGGCGGCGUGCCUAAUACAUGCAAGUCGAGCGAACAGACGAGGAGCUUGCUCCUCUGACGUUAGCGGCGGACGGGUGAGUAACACGUGGAUAACCUACCUAUAAGACUGGGAUAACUUCGGGAAACCGGAGCUAAUACCGGAUAAUAUAUUGAACCGCAUGGUUCAAUAGUGAAAGACGGUUUUGCUGUCACUUAUAGAUGGAUCCGCGCCGCAUUAGCUAGUUGGUAAGGUAACGGCUUACCAAGGCGACGAUGCGUAGCCGACCUGAGAGGGUGAUCGGCCACACUGGAACUGAGACACGGUCCAGACUCCUACGGGAGGCAGCAGUAGGGAAUCUUCCGCAAUGGGCGGAAGCCUGACGGAGCAACGCCGCGUGGGUGAUGAAGGUCUUCGGAUCGUAAAACUCUGUUAUUAGGGAAGAACAAAUGUGGAAGUAACUAUGCACGUCUUGACGGUACCUAAUCAGAAAGCCACGGCUAACUACGUG
rnacentral:rRNA from 1 species